rnacentral:ncRNA from 2 species
AACAGGUGAUAGCGAUCAGGUGCCGUGGGGCGUAAAAGGGAAUCCCGUGCAAAUCGGGAGCGGUCCCGCCGCUGUGAACGGGGACGAAAGUCGUGAUGGCCACUGGGUAUCCGGGAAGGCCGUACGAGUAGGAUGAUCCGUCAGCCAGAAGACCUGCCUGUUCGCUGAAGGGUGU